GUGCUGUUUCAGUUCACUGAAACUGAACUUUUCUGUGAUUUUGCUCUAUUUUGUGGCAUCAUAACUUUUGAUUAGUAUGGUUUUAGUCUGGGAUGCUAUGCCAAAGUGGUAGAGCUAUGUCUAGAGAAUAACUUUGAGUAAAUGAGUUGGGUUUGUUGUUGAGGGAAUUUGUGAGUUACAAAGCACUGAACAGAGGGAGAGGAAUGGAGCAAU
rnacentral:lncRNA from 1 species